GGUUGUAUAAGGGGUAAGGAGUUGGUCUUGUAACCCAAAGGUCGCGGGUUCGAAUCCCCGUGGGGACA
rnacentral:tRNA from 1 species